ACAUGUGUGUUUAUCUGCUGCAGAGACACUGAUGAAGGAAUACUGCCAUCAAAGGAUUUGUAUCUUUUGUGGUGGAGCAGGACCUGCAAGGAAAGGUGAAAAAGAGGGAAAACCUGAAACAAAAGAAUAAUGUAGUCGUGCUCAUGGGGUGCAGGCACACGAAAGUUUGGAGCAGACACAGCAGUCAGAUUGUCCUGCACGUGUUCUUCAGCUCUAGCUUCAAGGUUGUGUGGAUCAUAGAGCCGUCAUCAAGGUCUUCUUCAUCCUGUUGCUCAACGACAUCCCCGUUGAGAAGAGUGAGAUUGUGAAGUGCAGCAGCAGAACUGUAUCAGCUGUGUUCAGAUGGCAGGAGGAUGUUGGGUUCACCAUCUGUAAAUACAUGUUUGUUAGAACAAUAAGUUUGAAUGAAGCUUUGUAUCAUGUGUUGUUGACUUC